AAGUCGUAACAAGGUUUCCGUAGGUGAACCUGCGGAAGGAUCAUUACCAAAUCCAAAUCUCAACCCCAUGUGAACUGUUGACUGUCUGUCUUUGGGGGAGCUUUUGAAGUAAUUCUUUUGCUCCCCCAUGUUUUAUGAAACUACUUUUGAUUAUGUUGGAAUAAUAACUUUAUUAAAUAAUAAAGUGACAACUUUUAACGGUGGAUCUCUUGGCUCGUG
rnacentral:misc_RNA from 1 species